AUUGAACGCUGGCGGCAUGCCUAACACAUGCAAGUCGAGCGGAGCUGCGGACGGGUGAGUAAUGCCUAGGAAUCUGCCUGUUAGUGGGGUAUCCCGUCCGGAAACGUGCGAUAAUAACGCAUGCUAUCAAGUAGCCUUCGGUGGGAUUAGCUAGUUGGUGGGGUAGAGGCUGACCAAGGCGACGAUCCGAAACUGGUCUGAGAGGAUGAUCAGUCACAAGGGAACUGGGACACGGCCCAGACUCCUACGGGAGGCAGCAGGGGGGAAUAUUGGACAAUGGGCGAAAGCCUGAUCCAGCAAGGCCGCGUGUGUGAAGAAGGUCUUCGGAUUGUAAAGCACUUUAAGUUGGGAGGCGUUACCAAAAGAAUAAGCACCGGCUAACUUCGUGCCAGCAGCCGCGGUAAUUC
rnacentral:rRNA from 1 species